AACGGUGUCUUCUCCCCACAAAUGAAAGAGAAAUAGUAAAUUCUCCUGCGGGUGGCGAAUCAGGAGGGAAGGUGGAGCCCACAAUCUUUGCAAACUCUCUGGGGAGCCAGGGGUUGGUAGCUGGGAAGACUUGGGUGGUGACCCUGGGGGAGGGGAAGGGGCCGGGGAGCGGGGAAUGGGGGCAGCCCCUGGGGAGGAAUGGGAGAGGGAGGAGGACGCCAGGGGCACAGGGACAGCCUCCGGGGCGGGGCGCGGCGCCAGCCUAGCCCGAGGAUGGAGGCUGAGGCCGCCUGUUGAGUCACAGGUUUUGGCAGAGUUCAAAGACUGGGAAGCAAAGUUCAGCCAUGUUGGGCCUUUGGGCUCAUAGAUGAGCAAGGGUACCCCAAUAUGAGGGCUCAGCAAAUUCUGGAACUUAUCAGUUCUGAAGACCUUUAGAGGAGAAGGAGACAAGUAAAAGGUAUGUAGUCCUGGAGGGCGCUGCUUAAUGAACCAGAAGUCCUGCCUCUUAAGUACCUCACCAGCUCAAAUGUGUGCAUGUCACCUUGGCGUGAAUCGGAGCAGGCGCUGGUGGAUACCGUUUGGAGGCAUGCCAGCAAGGAGCUCCUUGUGUAGCCUGCCUCUGGAGCCUCAAGUUCAACUUCCAUAGGGCCAAAAGGGGAGUCGGGCUGGGCAGAAGCUCCUGAGAACCAAAGCAAAUGGUCUGAGAGUCUGAGAGUGUAGUGGAGGUAACGUGUUCGUGUCCUCUCUGGCUGCAUCACCCCAAGUCCUUGCAGACUCAAGUAGCCUAUUUGCAAGUUUAAAUAGUUUGAGUCCUGGCCGGUAACAAGAAUACUCUACAGUGGCCCAGAGUCAGGGAUAUAGAGUGGCGACUACUUGGCAGAACUGGAGCUUGCUCAGAUGAAAAGAUAAAUUGUACUGGUUAAACGAA
rnacentral:lncRNA from 1 species